GCCCCCAUCGUCUAGUGGCCUAGGACACCGGCCUUUCACGCCGGCAGCACGGGUUCGAAUCCCGUUGGGGGUGCUA
rnacentral:tRNA from 1 species